rnacentral:rRNA from 1 species
GAUGAACGCUAGCUACAGGCUUAACACAUGCAAGUCGAGGGGCAGCAUGGUCUUAGCUUGCUAAGGCCGAUGGCGACCGGCGCACGGGUGAGUAACACGUAUCCAACCUGCCGUCUACUCUUGGACAGCCUUCUGAAAGGAAGAUUAAUACAAGAUGGCAUCAUGAGUCCGCAUGUUCACAUGAUUAAAGGUAUUCCGGUAGACGAUGGGGAUGCGUUCCAUUAGAUAGUAGGCGGGGUAACGGCCCACCUAGUCUUCGAUGGAUAGGGGUUCUGAGAGGAAGGUCCCCCACAUUGGAACUGAGACACGGUCCAAACUCCUACGGGAGGCAGCAGUGAGGAAUAUUGGUCAAUGGGCGAGAGCCUGAACCAGCCAAGUAGCGUGAAGGAUGACUGCCCUAUGGGUUGUAAACUUCUUUUAUAAAGGAAUAAAGUCGGGUAUGGAUACCCGUUUGCAUGUACUUUAUGAAUAAGGAUCGGCUAACUCCGUGCCAGCAGCCGCGGUAAUACGGAGGAUCCGAGCGUUAUCCGGAUUUAUUGGGUUUAAAGGGAGCGUAGAUGGAUGUUUAAGUCAGUUGUGAAAGUUUGCGGCUCAACCGUAAAAUUGCAGUUGAUACUGGAUAUCUUGAGUGCAGUUGAGGCAGGCGGAAUUCGUGGUGUAGCGGUGAAAUGCUUAGAUAUCACGAAGAACUCCGAUUGCGAAGACAGCCUGCUAAGCUGCAACUGACAUUGAGGCUCGAAAGUGUGGGUAUCAAACAGGAUUAGAUACCCUGGUAGUCCACACGGUAAACGAUGAAUACUCGCUGUUUGCGAUAUACUGCAAGCGGCCAAGCGAAAGCGUUAAGUAUUCCACCUGGGGAGUACGCCGGCAACGGUGAAACUCAAAGGAAUUGACGGGGGCCCGCACAAGCGGAGGAACAUGUGGUUUAAUUCGAUGAUACGCGAGGAACCUUACCCGGGCUUAAAUUGCAGAUGAAUUACGGUGAAAGCCGUAAGCCGCAAGGCAUCUGUGAAGGUGCUGCAUGGUUGUCGUCAGCUCGUGCCGUGAGGUGUCGGCUUAAGUGCCAUAACGAGCGCAACCCUUGUUGUCAGUUACUAACAGGUUCCGCUGAGGACUCUGACAAGACUGCCAUCGUAAGAUGUGAGGAAGGUGGGGAUGACGUCAAAUCAGCACGGCCCUUACGUCCGGGGCUACACACGUGUUACAAUGGGGGGUACAGAGGGCCGCUACCACGCGAGUGGAUGCCAAUCCCCAAAACCUCUCUCAGUUCGGACUGGAGUCUGCAACCCGACUCCACGAAGCUGGAAUCGCUAGUAAUCGCGCAUCAGCCACGGCGCGGUGAAUACGUUCCCGGGCCU